AAGUCGUAACAAGGUUUCCGUAGGUGAACCUGCGGAAGGAUCAUUACCAAUUUAAUCCAAAACAUUUCAACCCAUGUGCACUGUGGCAUUGUUUGUCUUUGGGGCGGCCGUUUUAUAUUGCAAAAUGUUUGCUGCCCCAAAUUUGUUCAACACAUUUUAUUAGUUAUAUGGCAUCCUAUUGUCUUCAUACAAAUGGACAACUUUUAACGGUGGAUCUCUUGGCUCGUGG
rnacentral:misc_RNA from 1 species